rnacentral:tRNA from 1 species
UGCCUCGUCGUCAAGCGGUAAAGACAAAGGACUUUGACUCCUUCAUCGGUGGUUCGAUUCCACCCGGGGCAGCCA